rnacentral:rRNA from 1 species
ACGAACGCUGGCGGCGUGCUUAACACCUGCAAGUCGAACGGAAAGGCCCUGCUUUUGUGGGGUGCUCGAGUGGCGAACGGGUGAGUAACACGUGAGUAACCUGCCCUUGACUUUGGGAUAACUUCAGGAAACUGGGGCUAAUACCGGAUAGGAGCUCCUGCUGCAUGGUGGGGGUUGGAAAGUUUCGGCGGUUGGGGAUGGACUCGCGGCUUAUCAGCUUGUUGGUGGGGUAGUGGCUUACCAAGGCUUUGACGGGUAGCCGGCCUGAGAGGGUGACCGGCCACAUUGGGACUGAGAUACGGCCCAGACUCCUACGGGAGGCAGCAGUGGGGAAUAUUGCACGAUGGGCGGAAGCCUGAUGCAGCAACGCCGCGUGCGGGAUGACGGCCUUCGGGUUGUAAACCGCUUUCGCCUGUGACGAAGCGUGAGUGACGGUAAUGGGUAAAGAAGCACCGGCUAACUACGUG